rnacentral:rRNA from 1 species
UGGGGAAUAUUGCACAAUGGGCGCAAGCCUGAUGCAGCCAUGCCGCGUGUAUGAAGAAGGCCUUCGGGUUGUAAAGUACUUUCAGCGGGGAGGAAGGGAGUAAAGUUAAUACCUUUGCUCAUUGACGUUACCCGCAGAAGAAGCACCGGCUAACUCCGUGCCAGCAGCCGCGGUAAUACGGAGGGUGCAAGCGUUAAUCGGAAUUACUGGGCGUAAAGCGCACGCAGGCGGUUUGUUAAGUCAGAUGUGAAAUCCCCGGGCUCAACCUGGGAACUGCAUCUGGUACUGGCAAGCUUGAGUCUCGUAGAGGGGGGUAGAAUUCCAGGUGUAGCGGUGAAAUGCGUAGAGAUCUGGAGGAGUACCGGUGGCGAAGGCGGCCCCCUGGACGAAGACUGACGCUCAGGUGCGAAAGCGUGGGGAGCAAACAGG